rnacentral:misc_RNA from 1 species
GUGAAUCAUCGAAUCUUUUCCCUCCUCUUUCCCUCUCUUUUCUUCCGGAUAUUAUUCCUGUUUGAGGUUAAUUAAAGAGAAUCUUUAACCAAUUUUUUUUGGUCAACUUAAAUGAGCUCUCCGCGUUUAUAGCGGUAGCUUGAAAUAAAUGGUCAAGUCUCAUUUUAGUCGAGACGCGUAAUAAUAUUAUUUCGCGAAAUCUUCAUUAUGUUACUAUCAAUUUUUGAUGCAUCCAAAUUUUCUUUGUAUGCGAUCAAUACAAAUCUUUUUAACAUUACCUCAAAUCAGGUAGGAGUACCC